rnacentral:rRNA from 1 species
UGGGGAAUCUUGCGCAAUGGCCGAAAGGCUGACGCAGCGACGCCGCGUGGGGGAUGAAGGGCUUCGGCUCGUAAACCCCUGUUGCCCGGGACGAAUAGCCUGGAUUGCCAGGCCUGACGGUACCGGGUGAGGAAGCACCGGCUAACUCCGUGCCAGCAGCCGCGGUAAUACGGAGGGUGCGAGCGUUGUCCGGAAUCACUGGGCGUAAAGGGCGCGUAGGCGGCGGGGGCCAAGCGUGGGGUGAAAGUCCGGGGCUCAACCCCGGAUCGGCCUUGCGAACUGGUCUGCUCGAGCACUGUAGAGGCAGGUGGAAUUCCGGGUGUAGCGGUGGAAUGCGUAGAGAUCCGGAAGAACACCGGUGGCGAAGGCGGCCUGCUGGGCAGUAGCUGACGCUGAGGCGCGACAGCGUGGGGAGCAAACAGGAUUAGAUACCCUGGUAGUCCACGCCGUAAACGAUGGGCACUAGGUGCUUGGGGGAGCGACCCUCUGAGUGCCGGCGCUAACGCAUUAAGUGCCCCGCC